UAUCUCAGUAUUGUAUACACCUGCAGCAAGUGUAUAAUAAUAUCCUUUAAAGUUUAAGCACUUUUCAGACAUCAAACACUGCGCGAGAAUUAAUUGAAAUCUAAAAUGUCCAUCACUGCGCGCUUUUUUAUUUAUUUAUUUUCUAUUAAUUUAACGCAAAUAUAUAUAUAUUAUAAUUAUUGCUCGGUUAGGUUCAUUGUGUCAAUCUAACAGUCUGGUGAUUAGCCGCGUAACAUUGAGUACCUGUAUAACCUAGUAUCU